rnacentral:rRNA from 1 species
CAGUAGCCGCGGGAAAACGUAGGUGGCAAGCGUUGUCCGGAAUUAUUGGGCGUAAAGGGCUCGCAGGCGGUUUCUUAAGUCUGAUGUGAAAGCCCCCGGCUCAACCGGGGAGGGUCAUUGGAAACUGGGAAACUUGAGUGCAGAAGAGGAGAGUGGAAUUCCACGUGUAGCGGUGAAAUGCGUAGAGAUGUGGAGGAACACCAGUGGCGAAGGCGACUCUCUGGUCUGUAACUGACGCUGAGGAGCGAAAGCGUGGGGAGCGAACAGGAUUAGAUACCCGUGUAGUCCCUGUCUCUUAUAA